UCGACUCCGUGGCGAUGGUGUGGGUGAAUAAGGGGGUUGCAGGCUUUUACCGGAACAACUGGGUUUAAAGGGUACGUAGUCGGUCUGUUAAGUCAGUCAUGAAAGUUUGUCGCUUAACGAUAAAAUUGCGAUUGAUACUGGCGGACUAGAAUGUAGUAGAGGCUGGCGAAAUGAGACAAGUAGCGGUGAAAUGCUUAGAUAUGUCUCAGAACACCGAUUGCGAAGGCAGCUGGCUAUGCUAUUAUUGACGCUGAGGUACGAAAGUGUGGGUAGCAAACAGGAUUAGAUACCCGAGUAGUC
rnacentral:rRNA from 1 species